rnacentral:lncRNA from 1 species
GAAAGGUGAAAGUAAACAAACAGAUCUGUUAACCUCCUUUAAAAACAAUCCUUAAUAGCUGUUUACCUAAUUUAAAUUAAACCAUUUAAGUCACGUGAAUAAAAAAUAAUAAUUUGGAUCCAUUUUUUCAUGAGCACUCCUCAUAUAUGAUCUAUGGACAUACGCACACACAGACAUAACAACACAAAACACAAAUGUGCACACAAACGUACAACACAUAAGACAAUAGUAA